rnacentral:rRNA from 1 species
UACGGGGGGAGCAAGCGUUGUUCGGAUUUACUGGGCGUAAAGGGCGCGUAGGCGGCCACCGCAAGUCGACUGUGAAAUCUCCGGGCUUAACCCGGAAAGGUCAGCCGAUACUGCGGGGCUAGAGUGCAGAAGGGGCAACUGGAAUUCCUGGUGUAGCGGUGAAAUGUGUAGAGAUCGGGAGGAACACCGGUGGCGAAGGCGGGUCUCUGGGCAAUUCCUGACGCUGAGGCGCGAAAGCGUGGGGAGCAAACGGG